rnacentral:rRNA from 1 species
GAUGAACGCUGGCGGCGUGCCUAAUACAUGCCAGUCGAGCGAACAGACGAGGAGCUUGCUCCUCUGAUGUUAGCGGCGGACGGGUGAGUAACACGUGGAUAACCUACCUAUAAGACUGGGAUAACUUCGGGAAACCGGAGCUAAUACCGGAUAACAUGUUGAACCGCAUGGUUCAACAGUGAAAGACGGUCUUGCUGUCACUUAUAGAUGGAUCCGCGCCGCAUUAGCUAGUUGGUAAGGUAACGGCUUACCAAGGCAACGAUGCGUAGCCGACCUGAGAGGGUGAUCGGCCACACUGGAGCUGAGACACGGUCCAGAGUCCUACGGGAGGCAGCAGUAGGGAAUCUUCCGCAAUGGGCGAAAGCCUGACGGAGCAACGCCGCGUGAGUGAAGAAGGUCUUCGGAUCGUAAAACUCUGUUAUUAGGGAAGAACAAAUGUGUAAGUAACUAUGCACGUCUUGACGGUACCUAAUCAGAAAGCCACGGCUAACUACGUG